AAAACUAGCUGAUGAUUUAGUUGCUCCUAAAGCCGAGGAGAGGACUAGCUGCAAUUUGGUUAACCAUUCAACAGGUGGAGCAUCAACGAGUGAUGCUGAAAGCUGCACAACAGUUUGUUCUCAAACUAUGCAUGAUAAACCUCCUCUUGAGCCAGGAGUGAAUAAUGUUGAUUCCACACCUGGGAUAAGUGAAAUACAGCCCCUACAUGUUCUCAAUAAUGUUCACCAAUCUGGUGUAAAUUGUCUCCAUGUUUCAAACAUAC
rnacentral:misc_RNA from 1 species